GAGCCCAAUACUUGGCUUUUUAGGGUUUCACCUCUUUCUCUCUCAUCAAUCCCUCACUCCCUCUCUCUCUCCUCUCCUCCCCUCCCCGUCAUUCACCUUCCUCCCCUCCCCGUCAUUCACCUAUCUCCUCUCCUUCCCUCCCCUCUCCAAUACUUGAGCAGCGGUUGCUAUCAUCUUGAGACAAUCAACUUGACCGGCGACUUCAUAAAAGAGCUCCCAAGCGGCGCCGUUUUUCGACGGAGGUGUAACCGGCGGUGAAGAGCAAUUUAGUUUUUCUUUCUCAGAUCUAUGAGUUGAUUUUUUAGAACGAAUUAGAAGAGAUUAUUAACAUAUUACCGGAGGUGUAAACGGCGGUGUCGUAGAGAACUCAUAGAUCUGAGCAAUUUAGUUUUUCUUUCUCAGAUCUAUGAGUUUAUUGACUGAGCGAGGUGGCGAGUCAACUCGGCUAAGAACUCGGCCAAGAAAUUAUUAAGCUUCUAGUUAUUGUUGCUGUCACCACGUUCAGUCUCACUGAAGCUAAUCGGCGAGUCAAGGGACGAGUUAGGGUCAAACCUAACUAUCGAAGAACAAUUCUUAGAUAAUUUGGGAUAUCUUUGCCAUUUUAGAUCGUGAGGAAGAGAGGCAGUUGAGGUAGAACCAAUAUUGGAUGCACUUCCAAAAUUAGAGCCAUAAGCCUAGUCUUCUAAACUGUGUUUCUUUAGGAGUCAGGCAGAUAGCAGACAGUCAAAGGAUAAGUCUGUCUUGAUAUUUUAAAUUCAGAAAGUGACUUACAAUCCAUUCUUGUACUUACCAGAUAUAUUUACUGCUCGUCCGCUGGUGUUUAUCUCAAAUCAGACCUCUUACCAUACUGUGAGGCAGAUGCUGUUGAUCCAAAGAGUAGGCACAAGGGAAAGCUUGACACCAAGAGCUUGCUUUAAACAAGGGGUGUAAUUACGUGAUUUUGGGGAUGAUGGGACUUAUGCUAUGAAGAAAGUAUUGAUACAAAACAAUGAGCAACUGGACUUGGUCAGGGAGGAGAUCCAAGUUUCCUCCCUGUUUACACAUCCCAAUCUGCUUCCCCUUCUUGAUCAUGCUAUCAUCAAAGUCAAGGCCACUCAAGAGCAAUCCUGGAAACAUAAAGCGUACCUGUUAUUCCUAGUUCAUUUGGAUGGAACUUUGCUGGACAACUCAACCGCUAUGAAGGCUAAUAAUGCCCUUCUGGUGGAAGCUUAACUGUACAAUGGCAAAUAAGAGGAGAACGGUAUAAUUUUUUUUUUUUUUUUUUUUUUUUUUUUGAAACCAGGAAAACAAAUGUACUUGAGAUUUGGUUUAAUUUAGCUGCUCUUUUAAAGCUUUAGUUAGUAGUUUAUUAAUAUUAAUUGUAUAUAUUUUUUUUUUUUUGAAAGAAAUAUUAAUUGUAUAAAAAUAUAUACAA